GACGAACGCUGGCGGCGUGCCUAACACAUGCAAGUUGAGCGACGAACCAGGGCUUGCCCUGGGGCAAAACAGCGAACGGGUGAGUAACACGUGGGUAACCUACCCCGAUAACCGGGACAACCCGAGGAAACUCGGGCUAAUACCGGAUGUGCUCACUGGACUUCGGUUCAGUGCGUAAAGGAAGCUUCGGCCUCCGUAUCGGGAGGGGCCCGCGGCCCAUUAGUUUGUUGGUGAGGUAACGGCUCACCAAGACCGCGAUGGGUAGCUGGUCUGAGAGGACGAUCAGCCACACUGGGACUGAGACACGGCCCAGACUCCUACGGGAGGCAGCAGUGGGGAAUCUUGCGCAAUGCGCGAAAGCGUGACGCAGCAACGCCGCGUGGGGGAAGAAGGCCUUCGGGUUGUAAACCCCUUUCAGGAGGGACGAAGGUUCGGCGGUGAAUAGCCGUCCGGACUGACGGUACCUCCACAAGAAGCCCCGGCUAACUACGUG
rnacentral:rRNA from 1 species